rnacentral:snRNA from 1 species
GUGCUUUGUUUGGCAGCAUAUAUACUAAAAUUGCAAUGAUACAGAGAAAGCUAGCAUGGCACCUGGGUAAGAUUAUAGGAAAAUUCAUGAAGCAUUCCAUAUUUUU